rfam:Gossypium raimondii Chr05_contig_1367, whole genome shotgun sequence.
UAUUAAAUAUUUCAUCUAUUUGUAUUAUUAAAAAUUAGAGUGAUUGACGGAAUAACCAAACAAUGACACAUGAUUUAUCAUGUGUACCUUAUACUAAUAUAUAAUGAUUAAUUUUUAACAAUAGAAAUGGAUGAAUUUUUUAACA